AACGAGCAAGAAGAAUGGUAACAGUUUCGCUAGGAAGAAGGAAGGGGAAACCAAUGCAGUAUCAGUAGGGAGGCAGAGGAGGCCUCAUGUCAAAAGAAAUCUGUAACCAAGUCAACAUCAUCAUUAAGUGUCAUCCUUUAUUCUAGUAUUUUCAAAUAAUCAAUCAAUGCCAGUUCAACAACAACGUCAACAACAACCACAAUAAAGAACAAACAACUACAACACCAACACCAACAAUAAUCAACAACAUAAUUUUGAG
rnacentral:lncRNA from 1 species